GUGCCAGCAGCCGCGGUAAUACGGAGGGUGCGAGCGUUAAUCGGAAUUACUGGGCGUAAAGGGCGCGUAGGCGGUCGCGCAAGUCGGGUGUGAAAGCCCCGGGCUCAACCUGGGAAUUGCAUUCGAUACUGCGUAACUAGAGUCUGGUAGAGGGAAGCGGAAUUCCGCAUGUAGCGGUGAAAUGCGUAGAUAUGCGGAGGAACACCAGUGGCGAAGGCGGCUUCCUGGACCAAGACUGACGCUGAGGCGCGAAAGCGUGGGGAGCAAACAGGAUUAGAUACCCUGGUAGUCCACGCCGUAAACGAUGAUAACUCGUUGUUGGCGAUAUACAGUCAGCGACUAAGCGAAAGCGAUAAGUUAUCCACCUGGGGAGUACGAUCGCAAGGUUGAAACUCAAAUGAAUUGACGG
rnacentral:rRNA from 1 species